rnacentral:rRNA from 1 species
UGCCAGCCGCCGCGGUAAUAUGGACGGUGCAUGCGUUGUUCGGAAUUACUGGGCGUAAAGCGCGCGUAGGCGGCUUGGUCAGUUGGAUGUGAAAGCCCCGGGCUUAACCUGGGAACUGCAUUCAAUACUGCCAAGCUAGAGUAUGGGAGAGGGUUGUGGAAUUCCACGUGUAGCGGUGAAAUGCGUAGAUAUGUGGAGGAACAUCAGUGGCGAAGGCGGCUCCCUGGCCAAAGACUGACGCUCAUGUGCGAAGGUGUGGGUAGCGAACAGGGUUAGAUA